rnacentral:rRNA from 1 species
UACGGAGGGGGCUAGCGUUGUUCGGAAUUACUGGGCGUAAAGCGCACGUAGGCGGCUUUGUAAGUUAGAGGUGAAAGCCCGGGGCUCAACUCCGGAAUUGCCUUUAAGACUGCAUCGCUAGAAUUGUGGAGAGGUAAGUGGAAUUCCGAGUGUAGAGGUGAAAAUUCGUAGAUAUUCGGAAAGAACACCAGUGGCGAAGGCGACUUACUGGACACAUAUUGACGCUGAGGUG